rnacentral:rRNA from 1 species
UUGGCUCAGAACGAACGCUGGCGGCAGGCCUAACACAUGCAAGUCGAGCGGAUGACGGGAGCUUGCUCCUUGAUUCAGCGGCGGACGGGUGAGUAAUGCCUAGGAAUCUGCCUGGUAGUGGGGGACAACGUUUCGAAAGGAACGCUAAUACCGCAUACGUCCUACGGGAGAAAGCAGGGGACCUUCGGGCCUUGCGCUAUCAGAUGAGCCUAGGUCGGAUUAGCUAGUUGGUGAGGUAAUGGCUCACCAAGGCGACGAUCCGUAACUGGUCUGAGAGGAUG